rnacentral:rRNA from 1 species
CAGAGGUCCCAAGCGUUGUUCGGAUUCACUGGGCGUAAAGGGUGCGUAGGUGGUAGGGUAAGUCGGAUGUGAAAUCUCCGAGCUCAACUCGGAAAUGGCAUUGGAAACUACCCUGCUAGAGGGUCGGAGGGGGGACUGGAAUACUUGGUGUAGCAGUGAAAUGCGUAGAUAUCAAGUGGAGCACCAGUGGCGAAGGCGAGUCCCUGGACGACUCCUGACACUGAGGCACGAAAGCUAGGGGAGCAAACAGGAUUAGAUACCCUGGUAGUCCUAGCCGUAAACGGUGCACGUUUGCUGUAAAAGGAAUCGACCCCUUUUGUGGCGUAGCCAACGCGUUAAACGUGCCGCCUGGGAAGUACGGUCGCAAGAUUA